UUUUCUAACGUAUAACCACUACCGCAGUGUUUACAAACACAUAUUAGCUACAUUUCAACGAAUAAACGACGCGAACGGCCUUCACUGCAGACAGAAUCUCUAAGGAAGUUGUCCCACACCCAUUUGGUGUGUACCCAGCGAUAAACCCCACCCUUUAACGGCCUUCGCUGCUGUCUGUAUCUCCAAGGAAGUCCACCCUGUAAAGUCAUGCUAACGCAGCUAUCCUGUUCGGCCCGGAACUGAUCCAUAUUUUUAUAAGUACACUAUCGGAAACAUUUCAAGUGAAUGGUAUGUUAACUCAAGUUGUACUGACAUCAUCUCUGUGGACAAGUCUCUAUUGUUUCGUGUGUUACUUUUGGAGAAGCAAGUCAUAUGAAUGGUCAUGUCGUUCUGUAAGUCUGCUACACGCACUGCUGAUAACCUCUCUCUCAUACUACUGCACUUUUAUUCAAGGUCCAUGGCCUUUUACAGAUGCAGGUGGACCCAACACAUCUUUUCAAGAGUCCAUUGCAAUUAUUUCAGUUGGAUAUUUCAUCUUUGACUUUUUCUGGUGUUUAUAUUUUCAAACAGAUGGUCAAACGAUGCUGUGUCACCACUUUGUAUCAAUUAUUGCUCUGGCCAUCUGCUUGAUUACAGGUUCAUAUGGCACAGAAAUUGUAGCUACCAUCUUCGGAUCUGAAAUCAGCAAUCCCUUCUUGCAGUGUCGAUGGUUUCUCAAAUAUUCUGGUAACCGUGACACAGCUAUUGCGGAUUUGGUUGAUGCUGCUUUUAUUUUCACCUUCACUUAUGUUCUCCUCUUUGUAUGAAACCUUGAACUUCAGAAAAAAAAGCUUGUCUUCUCUGUAAAUAUAAAUGUGUGAAAGAAGAUAAGCAGGAAGUGUUGUAUGUCGACUCAGGCUGUGGUUAAGAAGAUCCCUUUAGGAACACAUGAUUUUGGAUUCAGUACUGUUGUGUGGUACCUAGGGUAAG
rnacentral:misc_RNA from 1 species